rnacentral:lncRNA from 1 species
AAAAAAGUACUUGUUGAAAAUCAACUUAUGUGCAAAAGGUGGAGUAGUGAGGAAAUAAUUUAUUGAAUUAACCAAUUUAGACCUCACAAGUAAUAAUAUACCUUACUAGUUGAAUAAAGUAGUAUUUAUAAACUACAUUGAAAUUUCUUGUUUAUAGAUAAGCCUUCAAACACCUUAUUGCAUUAUAUGCAGCAAGCUGGCUCAAUACUUAGGCCAAAGAAAAGCACCCAUAGCAAACUCUCUUUUGUAGGCCAAAUCACCAUGUGUAGGCAAGCCAUAUUCCUUGAGGAGUCGAUCAAGCUUCCACUCGGGCAUGUCCUGAUAAUCUUUUUGUGUGUAUCUUGGGUAGUGUAGAGGCAUCUGAAAGAAUCCAACACUAUUAUUCUUUUGUGGGGUUUCCAUAUUCCUCUGUGCUUUCUCAAUAGUUUUUCAAGUAGUUACUUAUUGUUAAC